GGGUUGUGAGGUUAAGCGACUAAGCGUACACGGUGGAUGCCCUGGCAGUCAGAGGCGAUGAAGGACGUGCUAAUCUGCGAUAAGCGUCGGUAAGGUGAUAUGAACCGUUAUAACCGGCGAUUUCCGAAUGGGGAAACCCAGUGUGUUUCGACACACUAUCAUUAACUGAAUCCAUAGGUUAAUGAGGCGAACCGGGGGAACUGAAACAUCUAAGUACCCCGAGGAAAAGAAAUCAA
rnacentral:rRNA from 1 species